CUUGUACCUGGUGGCGAGCGGCGGACGGGUGAGUAAUGCCUAGGAAUCUGCCUGGUAGUGGGGGAUAACGCUCGGAAACGGACGCUAAUACCGCAUACGUCCUACGGGAGAAAGCAGGGGACCUUCGGGCCUUGCGCUAUCAGAUGAGCCUAGGUCGGAUUAGCUAGUUGGUGAGGUAAUGGCUCACCAAGGCGACGAUCCGUAACUGGUCUGAGAGGAUGAUCAGUCACACUGGAACUGAGACACGGUCCAGACUCCUACGGGAGGCAGCAGUGGGGAAUAUUGGACAAUGGGCGAAAGCCUGAUCCAGCCAUGCCGCGUGUGUGAAGAAGGUCUUCGGAUUGUAAAGCACUUUAAGUUGGGAGGAAGGGCAGUUACCUAAUACGUAUCUGUUUUGACGUUACCGACAGAAUAAGCACCGGCUAACUCUGUGCCAGCAGCCGCGGUAAUACAGAGGGUGCAAGCGUUAAUCGGAAUUACUGGGCGUAAAGCGCGCGUAGGUGGUUUGUUAAGUUGGAUGUGAAAUCCCCGGGCUCAACCUGGGAACUGCAUUCAAAACUGACAAGCUAGAGUAUGGUAGAGGGUGGUGGAAUUUCCUGUGUAGCGGUGAAAUGCGUAGAUAUAGGAAGGAACACCAGUGGCGAAGGCGACCACCUGGACUGAUACUGACACUGAGGUGCGAAAGCGUGGGGAGCAAAC
rnacentral:rRNA from 2 species